rnacentral:antisense_RNA from 1 species
AUUGUUGGUGGUGGGGGGGGCACCCUGUAUAUUGUAGGACGUUGAGCAGCAUCUCUGACUUCGACCUACUAGAUGCCAGUAUCUCAGUUUUCUUAAAAUACUUUUUUUUUGAAAUGGAGUCUUGCUGUGUUGCCUAGGCUGGAGUGCAGGGGCACGAUGUCGACUCACUGCAACCUCUGUCUCCCCGGUUCAAGCGAUUCUCCUGCCUCAGCCUUCUAAGUAGCUGGGAUUACAGGUGCGCACCACCAUGCCCAGCUAAUCGUAAAAGACUUUUCAUAAAACUUCAGAACUCCUUAAAAACUAGUGAAUAGCCAAGGUGAAGAAAGACCUCAGGCUUCUGACUUUAGACCCCAAUCCCUGGGACUCCCACACUCAGCAAAGAAAGCUGGGUGCCUGCACCCUGGAUUUCUGGGCAGAUCUGUCUUAUGGCUGUGGGCAACUCAGGAACAUGAAUUAGCACUAGAAUCUGGAGUUUUCCUUUUCUUUUCUGGGUCUCACUCUGUUACCCAGGCUGGAGUGCAGUGGCACAGUCAUGGCUCCCUGUAACCUCAACCUCGCAGAC